rnacentral:rRNA from 1 species
UUUCUUUGGAGAGUUUGAUCCUGGCUCAGGACGAACGCUGGCGGCGUGCCUAAUACAUGCAAGUCGAGCGGG